rnacentral:lncRNA from 1 species
GUGGGGCAUGCUGGGACUUGUAGUUUCCCUCUGGGGGGGUCGCCUGAUUGGUUGUGAGAGUUCAGCGCCCUGGGUCCUGCGCCCUCCGUGGAAGCUCCUCCCAGCCUAAUGAUGGAGGCUGGGCAACCAGCACAGUGUUCAGGGUGCUGGGGUUCAUACGUAUUGAAAUCCCAGAGUAGUGGCGGACUUCCCCAUGGGAAUGUCUGAUGAGUACUUUGAAUCACAGAUCUCUGUACAGGCCCUGUUACAAAUGCCACUCCUCAGGGCAUUUCGUGUGUUUUCCUUUGAGGGCUCUUGGGACUUGUAAAUUCAGUUCAAUUCACCUUCUGAGGAAUGGGCCCUGACAAGCUGAAGUCUGAGCCAUAAGCUGCGAUGGAACCUAACCUCUGUGCCCCUUCAAUGUGGAACAUGUGGUCAUCAAAGAAGAUGUGGGGCCGGAUCUUCACCAAGAUGGGACUUUUGGGGGCUCCAGCAAGGAAAAGAGCUUCGUCUAUCUCUAGACCCCAGCGUCGAAGGGUCUUCAGCACACGGGCGCCUGAACUGGCUGCACUCCUAGCUGUAACCAGGUAGGUCCUGAUAGGACAAAGUAACCGUUCAUUUUUGGCAUAGAACUUCUUUUGCAGUCUGCCUAAAUCUUCCAGAAAGCCUUUUAGGGGACCCUGUAAAAGGAACAUAUAUCACAGCUGUGAUACAGUGAGCCAAAGAAAGUGAAUGCUAAAAAGCAGAGACCUAUAUGAUACGAUACAAUACAAAGGAUAUAAUACAGCAUGACAUGCAGUGUUAUGAAGCUGAUGGCAAAAUGCUAAAACUUGAUAGGAAUUUAUGUGAAUAUGUUUUCUGAUAUAGAACCAUCCUUGCAUUCCUGGAAUGUGCCUAAAAUGACCAUAUUAUUUAACAUGUAAACCUAUAUACUUUAGGUAUGAAAGAAUGUUCAAUAAAUACUUAAGCCAGGACAACAGACAUAAACUAUCCAUGGUAAGCUGGAAUAGAGGGUCACUCUAAAUAAACUCUAAUUAGUUACCAAAGCACUACUCUUUUAAUUUGCUUUUUGUGAAUUGUGCAUUUUAACUUUAUGAAGUAUAUGCUUUUGUCUAGUUUAAUGCUGUUUGGCUUGAAUCUAACUGUGUCUUUCAUUUUUAACCUUUCCAAACACUUGGUUUUAGUAUCUCUUGUACAGAGCCUAGAAUUGGAUUUUGCUAUGUGAUACAACCUGAAAAUCUUAUUUUUUAAAACAAUAGUUAAGUUUUUGUUCAUUUACAUUUAUUCAUAUUACAAACAUACUUGAGAUUGUUUCUGUCUUAUGGUUUUUAUUGCAUUUUCCAUGUUUUAAAAUUUUUAAAGGAUUGUUCAAUA